rnacentral:rRNA from 1 species
CGCGAAUACGCCCUAUAMCGGUUGAACCARCCGGACCCGACUGCUAUCAGAGUGGGACUAAGCCAUGCGAGUMAACAUAGCAAUAUGUGGCAAACGGCUCAGUAACACGUAGUCAACAAGCCCAGGGGACGUGGAUAACCUCGGGAAACUGAGGAAAAACCACGGUAAGUCACUACUUCUGGAAUGGGUAAWGACUAAAAUCUACAUGGCCCCUGGAUUGGACUGCGGCCGAWCAGGCUGUUGGUGAGGUAAWGGCCCACCAAACCUGUAACCGGUACGGGCUCUGAGAGGAGGAGCCCGGAGAUGGGCACUGAGACAAGGGCCCAGGCCCUAUGGGGCGCAGCAGGCGCGAAACCUCUGCAAUAGGCGAAAGCUGACAGGGUUACUCUGAGUGAUUUCCGUUAAGGAGAUCUUUUGGCACCUCUAAAAAUGGUGCAGAAUAAGGGGUGGGCAAGUCUGGUGUCAGCCGCCGCGGUAAUACCAGCACCCCGAGUGGUCGGGACGUUUAUUGGGCCUAAAGCAUCCGUAGCCGGUUCUACAAGUCUUCCGUUAAAUCCACCUGCUCAACAGAUGGGCUGCGGAAGAUACUAUAGAGCUAGGAGGCGGGAGAGGCAAGCUGUACUCGAUGGGUAGGGGUAAAAUCCGUUGAUCCAUUGAAGACCACCAGUGGCGAAGGCGGCUUGCCAGAACGCGCUCGACGGUGAGGGAUGAAAGCUGGGGGAGCAAACCGGAUUAGAUACCCGGGUAGUCCCAGCUGUAAACGAUGCAGACUCGGUGAUGAAUUGGCUAUAUGCCAAUUCAGUGCCGCAGGGAAGCCGUUAAGUUUNCCGCCUGGGGAGUACGGUCGCAAGACUGAAACUUAAAGGAAUKGCGGGGAGCACACAAGGGGUGAAGCUGCUGUUCAAUUGAGUCACGCCGGG